GGCGCCAUGGCUUAGUUGGAAAAGCGCCUGUCUAGUAAACAGGAGAUCCUGGGUUCAAAUCCCAGUGGUGCCU
rnacentral:tRNA from 1 species